UACGAAGGGAGCUAGCGUUGUUCGGAAUCACUGGGCGUAAAGCGCACGUAGGCGGAUGUGUCAGUCAGGGGUGAAAUCCCGGAGCUCAACUUCGGAACUGCCUUUGAUACAGCACAUCUGGAGUCCGGAAGAGGUGGGUGGAAUUCCUAGUGUAGAGGUGAAAUCGUAGAUAUUAGGAAGAACACCGGUGGCGAAGGCGGCCCACUGGUCCGGUACUGACGCUGAGGUGCGAAAGCGUGGGAGCAAACAGG
rnacentral:rRNA from 1 species